CCCCUAACCCGAUCAAUCCUUUUUUUUUCCCCUCUUCCGUACGACUCCCUAUCUCUCUCAUUCUUCAAAGCACCUUACGCGUCUGCUGCUCCGCACGUGCGCGCGCGACGCUAUCCGAUCGUCGCCAUCAUCCGUAGCCGUCUCCGCCGCAAUCCUCUUUGGCCGUUAUUUUUUGGUUCGCUAUCGAGGGUAUCCUGCCGUCAUCUUCACCAUUUUCGAGAAGGUUCCGGUGAUUGAUUUUUCGCGCAAUUUUCAAUUGGAUAGCUUCUUAGCUUAGAAGCCGCUUUUGAGAUACCGAGACUGAUUUGCCGGGCGGGGCUGAGACCAAGUGAACGUUAGACGUAGCUAGUUUUGUUUUAGUCCUUUUUUUUUUUACAUCUAGUAUUUUCGGAUGUGAAUCUUUGGACUUCGUAUAUAAUCGUUUGUCAUUUGCUUUUAUUUCGUUAUUUCUUCGUACCCACUUUUGUCACUUAUGGUAUUUUGUAGACCGAAUCUCUCUUGUGAU